rnacentral:rRNA from 1 species
AUUGAACGCUGGUGGCAGGCUUAACACAUGCAAGUCGAGCGGCAGCAAGCCUUCGGGCGUUGGCGAGCGGCGGACGGGUGAGUAAUGCAUAGGAAUCUGCCUGGUAGUGGGGGAUAGCCCGGGGAAACUCGGAUUAAUACCGCAUACGCCCUACGGGGGAAAGGAGGGGAUCUUCGGACCUUUCGCUAUCAGAUGAGCCUAUGUCGGAUUAGCUAGUUGGUGAGGUAAAGGCUCACCAAGGCGACGAUCCGUAACUGGUCUGAGAGGAUGAUCAGUCACACUGGAACUGAGACACGGUCCAGACUCCUACGGGAGGCAGCAGUGGGGAAUAUUGGACAAUGGGCGCAAGCCUGAUCCAGCCAUGCCGCGUGUGUGAAGAAGGCCUCGGUUGUAAGAC